rnacentral:rRNA from 1 species
AAUAACUUUGGGCUGAUCGCACUGCUUCACGCAGGCGACGUAUCUUUCUAAGGUGUGCCCUAUCAACUGUCGACUGUGGCAUAGACGCCCACAGUGGUUUUGACGGGUAACGGGGAAUCAGGGUUCGAUUCCGGAGAGGGAGCCUGAGAAACGGCUACCACUUCUAAGGAAGGCAGCAGGCACGCAAAUUACCCACUGGUCGAAGACCGAGGUAGUGACGAAAAAUAACGAUACCGGUCUCAUCCGAGGCCCGGUAAUCGGAAUGAGUACACUUUAAAUCCUUUAACGAGGAACAAUUGGAGGGCAAGUCUGGUGCCARCAGCCGCGGUAAUUCCAGCUCCAAUAGCGUAUAUUAAAGUUGUUGCGGUUAAAAAGCUCGUAGUUGGAUCUCGGCGUGUAGGGGGCGGUUCGGUAUUUGUCGCUACUGCCCCAUUUACGCGCGUUUUUGACGGAGGUUCCAGGGUGCUCUUAAUCGAGUGUCCUGGGAUGCCGUCAGGUUUACUUUGAAAAAAUUAGAGUGCUCCAAGCAGGCCUCGACGCCUGAAUAUUCGUGCAUGGAAUAAUAGAAUAGGAUGUCGUUUCUAUUUUGUUGGUUUUCGGAAAUCGACAUAAUGAUUAAUAGGGACAGUCGGGGGCAUUAGUAUUCAGACGACAGAGGUGAAAUUCUUGGACCGUCUGAAGACUAACUACUGCGAAAGCAUUUGCCAAGAAUGUUUUCAUUAAUCAAGAACGAAAGUUAGAGGUUCGAAGGCGAUCAGAUACCGCCCUAGUUCUAACCAUAAACGAUGCCAGCUAGCGAUCCGCAGACGUUAUUUUUUUAGGCUCUGCGGGAAGCUUCCGGGAAACCAAAGCGUUUGGGUUCCGGGGGAAGUAUGGUUGCAAAGCUGAAACUUAAAGGAAUUGACGGAAGGGCACCACCAGGAGUGGAGCCUGCGGCUUAAUUUGACUCAACACGGGAAAUCUCACCAGGCCCGGACACUGGAAGGAUUGACAGAUUGAGAGCUCUUUCUCGAUUCGGUGGGUGGUGGUGCAUGGCCGUUCUUAGUUGGUGGAGUGAUUCGUCUGGUUAAUUCCGAUAACGAACGAGACUCUGUCCUGCUAAAUAGUUCCGACGUCUUUUUUGCGUUGGAAAUUCUUCUUAGAGGGACUG